GCCAGGCACGGUGGGUGGCAUGUGCCUGUAGUCCCAGAUAUCUUGGGAGGCUGAGGCUGGGGGAUCACUUGAGCCCAGGAGUUCUGGGCUGUAGUGCACUAUGCCGAUCGAGUGUCCACACUAAGUUCGGCAUCAAUAUGGUGACUUCCUGGGAGCAGGGACCACCAGGUUGCCUAAGGAGGGGUGAAUCGGCCCAGAUUGGAAAUAGAACAGGUCAAAACUCUGGUGCUGAUCAGUAGUGGGAUCGCAUCUGUGAAUAGCCACUGCACUCCAGCCUGUGCAACAUAGCGAGACCGUGUCUCUU
rnacentral:SRP_RNA from 1 species